rnacentral:lncRNA from 1 species
GAAGAGCCGGCGCGGACGAAGAAGAAGUGGACGAAGGAGGAGUUCCCGCUGCCUCCAGAGAAACGCCACCUCCAAGGGAUAUUCCGGUCCUCCCCAGGAGAAGGGGAGGGAAGGAAUACAAGGGAGAAGAGCGCGAGGAGGCGCGAUCCCGGAUGAAGCGUCUGGCGCAGAGCUCAAUCGGGAGGCGGGGCUGAAAGGAG